rnacentral:misc_RNA from 1 species
GUGAAACUAGUUUUUGAUAUUAGAUUGGGACGGGCUUAGAUUAGAGUGACAUGGACAUGGAGGAUUCGUAUAACUGAUUCCGACUUGCUCGGGAUUGAGUCAUGAUUGUUAUUGUUGUCGUCUAUCUGUACAUCUAUUUUUCAUUCCCCCCUUCCCAAUUAGUUGGUGAUAAAAUAAUACUCAGCUGAUUUUCGGACGUGUAAAUGGAAAGAAGAAUAAUAUUGCCAUGAUCCUGUUGAAGUUAGAAUUCAGGAAUUCAGGUGUUUUUCUAAUGGUACUGACUUGUUUAGUAUGUUUUAGAGCAAGAGCCUGGUGUUGUUUG